UACGUAGGGGGCAAGCGUUGUCCGGAAUUAUUGGGCGUAAAGCGCGCGCAGGCGGUUUCUAAGUUAGGUGUGAAAGCCCACGGCUCAACCGUGGAGGGCCACCUAAAACUGGGAGACUUGAGUGCAGGAGAGGAGAGCGGAAUUCCACGUGUAGCGGUGAAAUGCGUAGAGAUGUGGAGGAACACCCGUGGCGAAGGCGGCGUCUCGUGGCCUGUAACUGACGCUGAGGCGACGAAAGCGUGGGGAGCAAACAGG
rnacentral:rRNA from 1 species